CGGUGAAUACGUUCCCGGACCUUGCACACACCGCCCGUCAAGCCAUGGAAGCUGGGUGUACCUAAACGUCGGUAACCGCAAGGAGCCGCCUACGGGUAAACUAGUAACUGGGGCU
rnacentral:rRNA from 1 species